rnacentral:rRNA from 1 species
AGAGUUUGAUCAUGGCUCAGAUUGAACGCUGGCGGAAUGCUUUACACAUGCAAGUCGAACGGCAGCACGGACUUCGGUCUGGUGGCGAGUGGCGAACGGGUGAGUAACAUAUCGGAACGUAUCCAAUAAUGGGGGAUAACUAAUCGAAAGGUUGGCUAAUACCGCAUACGCCCUACGGGGGAAAGCUAGGGACCUUCGGGCCUGGCGUUAAUGGAGCGGCCGAUAUCUGAUUAGCUAGUUGGUGAGGUAAAGGCUCACCAAGGCGACGAUCAGUAGCUGGUCUGAGAGGACGACCAGCCACACUGGAACUGAGACACGGUCCAGACUCCUACGGGAGGCAGCAGUGGGGAAUUUUGGACAAUGGGCGCAAGCCUGAUCCAGCCAUUCCGCGUGAGUGAAGAAGGCCUUCGGGUUGUAAAGCUCUUUCGCAAGGGAAGAAAACUUAGGCUCUAACAUAGCCUGAGGUUGACGGUACCUUGAUAAGAAGCACCGGCUAACUACGUGCCAGCAGCCGCGGUAAUACGUAGGGUGCGAGCGUUAAUCGGAAUUACUGGGCGUAAAGCGUGCGCAGGCGGCCUUAAAAGUCAGAUGUGAAAUCCCCGAGCUCAACUUGGGAACUGCGUUUGAAACUCUAAGGCUAGAAUAUGUCAGAGGGGGGUAGAAUUCCACGUGUAGCAGUGAAAUGCGUAGAGAUGUGGAG